UACGUAGGGUGCAAGCGUUGUCCGGAAUUACUGGGCGUAAAGCGCACGUAGGCGGACUGUUAAGUCGGGGGUGAAAUCCUGGGGCUCAACCUCAGAAUUGCCUCCGAUACUGGCAGUCUCGAGUGCGGGAGAGGUGAGUGGAAUUCCCAGUGUAGAGGUGAAAUUCGUAGAUAUUGGGAAGAACACCAGUGGCGAAGGCGGCUCACUGGCCCGUAACUGACGCUGAGGUGCGAAAGCGUGGGGAGCAAACAGG
rnacentral:rRNA from 1 species